rnacentral:rRNA from 1 species
GUUAUAUGGUCAAGCGAAUAAGCGCACACGGUGGAUGCCUUGGCGGUCAGAGGCGAUGAAGGACGUGGCAGCCUGCGAAAAGUAUCGGGGAGCUGGCAACAAGCUUUGAUCCGGUAAUGUCCGAAUGGGGAAACCCACCCGCUUGCGGGUAUCCUGCAGUGAAUACAUAGCUGCUGGAAGCGAACCUGGUGAACUGAAAUAUCUAAGUAACCAGAGGAAAAGAAAUCAACCGAGAUUCCGUAAGUAGCGACGAGCGAACGCGGACUAGCCCUUAAGCUGAUUUGGUUCUAGGAAAACGCUCUGGAAAGAGCGGCCAUAGAAGGUGAUAGCCCUGUAUCUGAAAGGGCCAUUUCAGUGAAGACGAGUAGGGCGGGGCACGUGAAACCCUGUCUGAACAUGGGGGGACCAUCCUCCAAGGCUAAAUACUACUGACCGACCGAUAGUGAACCAGUACCGUGAGGGAAAGGCGAAAAGAACCCCGGAGAGGGGAGUGAAAUAGAACCUGAAACCGUGUGCGUACAAGCAGUAGGAGCUCCGCAAGGAGUGACUGCGUACCUUUUGUAUAAUGGGUCAGCGACUUACUGUUCGUGGCAAGCUUAACCGUAUAGGGGAGGCGAAGGGAAACCGAGUCUGAUAAGGGCGCAUAGUCGCGGGCAGUAGACCCGAAACCGGGUGAUCUAGUCAUGCCCAGGGUGAAGGUGCGGUAACACGCACUGGAGGCCCGAACCCACUCCCGUUGCAAAGGUAGGGGAUGAGGUGUGAUUAGGAGUGAAAAGCUAAUCGAACCCGGAGAUAGCUGGUUCUCCUCGAAAGCUAUUUAGGUAGCGCCUCAUAUGUAUCCUCUCGGGGGUAGAGCACUGUUAUGGCUAGGGGGUCAUCGCGACUUACCAAACCAUUGCAAACUCCGAAUACCGAGACGGACUGUAUGGGAGACACACGGCGGGUGCUAACGUCCGUCGUGAAAAGGGAAACAACCCAGACCCACAGCUAAGGUCCCAAAUUUUGUGCUAAGUGGAAAACCAUGUGGAAAGGCACAGACAGCCAGGAGGUUGGCUUAGAAGCAGCCACCCUUUAAAGAAAGCGUAAUAGCUCACUGGUCGAGUCGGUCUGCGGGGAAGAUUUAACGGGGCUAAGCACAGAACCGAAGCUUGGGGUGCAUACUUUGUAUGCGCGGUAGAGGAGCGUUCCGUAAGCCGUUGAAGGUGGAUUGAGAAGUCUGCUGGAGGUAUCGGAAGUGCGAAUGCUGACAUGAGUAACGAUAAUGCGGGUGAAAAACCCGCACGCCGAAAGCCCAAGGUUUCCUUGCGCAACGUUAAUCGGCGCAGGGUGAGUCGGCCCCUAAGGCGAGGACGAAAGUCGUAGUCGAUGGGAAGCAGGUUAAUAUUCCUGCACCUCGCGUAAGUGCGAUGGAGGGACGGAGAAGGUUAGGUGUACCAGGCGUUGGUUGUCCUGGGGAAAGGCGGUAGGUUUGGAUCUUUGGCAAAUCCGGGAUCCUCUAAGACCGAGCACCGAGACGAGCCUUUAUGGCGAAGUCACUGAUACCACGCUUCCAGGAAAAGCUCCUAAGCUUCAGCUUACGCAGACCGUACCGUAAACCGACACAGGUGGGUAGGAUGAGAAUUCUCAGGCGCUUGAGAGAACUCGGGUGAAGGAACUAGGCAACAUGGCACCGUAACUUCGGGAGAAGGUGCACCCUUUUUGGUGGCUCAUGCGAGCUAUAGCUGAAGAGGGUCGCAGUAACCAGGCCGCUGCGACUGUUUAUCAAAAACACAGCACUCUGCAAACACGAAAGUGGACGUAUAGGGUGUGACGCCUGCCCGGUGCUGGAAGGUUAAUUGAUGGGGUCAGCCGCAAGGCGAAGCUCUUGAUCGAAGCCCCAGUAAACGGCGGCCGUAACUAUAACGGUCCUAAGGUAGCGAAAUUCCUUGUCGGGUAAGUUCCGACCUGCACGAAUGGCGUAACGACAGCGGCGCUGUCUCCACCCGAGACUCAGUGAAAUUGAAAUCGCUGUGAAGAUGCAGCGUUCCCGUGGCAAGACGGAAAGACCCCGUGAACCUUUACUAUAGCUUUACACUGAACGUUGAGUUCGUCUGUGUAGGAUAGGUGGGAGGCUAUGAAACCAUGGCGCUAGCUGUGGCGGAGCCAUCCUUGAAAUACCACCCUGUCGUGCUUGACGUUCUAACCUGGGCCCAUUAUCUGGGUCGGGGACCGUGUAUGGUGGGUAGUUUGACUGGGGCGGUCUCCUCCUAAAGAGUAACGGAGGAGCUCGAAGGUACGCUCAGCGCGGUCGGACAUCGCGCACUGUGUGCAAAGGCAUAAGCGUGCUUGACUGCAAGAUCGACGGAUCAAGCAGGUAGGAAACUAGGACUUAGUGAUCCGGUGGUUCUGUAUGGAAGGGCCAUCGCUCAACGGAUAAAAGGUACUCCGGGGAUAACAGGCUGAUACCGCCCAAGAGUUCAUAUCGACGGCGGUGUUUGGCACCUCGAUGUCGGCUCAUCACAUCCUGGGGCUGUAGUCGGUCCCAAGGGUAUGGCUGUUCGCCAUUUAAAGUGGUACGCGAGCUGGGUUCAGAACGUCGUGAGACAGUUCGGUCCCUAUCUGCCAUGGGCGUUGGAGAUUUGAGAGGGGCUGCUCCUAGUACGAGAGGACCGGAGUGGACGAACCUCUGGUGUUCCGGUUGUCACGCCAGUGGCAUUGCCGGGUAGCUAUGUUCGGAAGCGAUAACCGCUGAAAGCAUCUAAGCGGGAAGCGCGCCUCAAGAUGAGAUCUCCCGGGGCACAAGCCCCCUGAAGGAACCAUGUAGACUACGUGGUUGAUAGGUCAGGUGUGUAAGUGCAGCAAUGCAUUGAGCUAACUGAUACUAAUGAUCCGAGAGGCUUGACCAUAUAACCU